GACACUCGCGCCUGCAGAGUUGUGGUGACAAGCAAGGUAAGCCGGGUGACUUUUGUAACCCUUUUUCCCAGCAGAGACUACUCCUGUGUGUAGAAACCACGGCCUGGCAGCGACUUCUCUAACUCAUAAAACUUGCUCUAACACACGGGGGAAAAAAGCUUCACUUAAUCCAGUAUCCUGUGUUGAUUCCUGCCUGCGACAUCUUAAUUCUUACCCACGGGCAGGAGGACUGCUCUCGGCUGUGGACAGUGAUGUGGAUUUCACAAUAUUCAAUAAUCAGACUUUUCAUGGGGGCUAUUCCAGUCAAAUAUUGAUUUAGUCAGAAAGGAGUGAUAGAAAUACAGCUCUGUAGGUUUAUUCUUGUUAAAAGUCCAAAGUAGAGUGCAGACUUUGAGAGUUCUUCUUGCAGAAAGUAUUAGCAAAAAGUAAUGUCCAGGCAGCCCCAAGUGAUACAAGACAGUUAGCUAUGAAUUUCACAAACAUCAUUAAAUGUGUGUGGAUGUAGUGCAGUACUGGAAUGAGAGAAGAUAACUAAAAUUAAGAUAAAUAGCUUAGGAACUCACAGCCAGGGAAGCCGUAAUUCACAAGUUUUCUAAGCUAGUGUUCUUAUUGCCUUUAGGAAUAGGAAGCAUUGCUUCCAAAGCUGGGUUAACCACUCUUGAAAAGCAUAAGGUACAAAGUAAUUUACUCUCUUAUUUCCAAGAUUAAAAACCCUACGAUAGUAUUGUCCUCGCCCUUAAUGCUUUCGGAGAAAACACUCAUCCUACAGAAAUACACAUUUGUCUUCGGAACUCUGAUCUCUCUCCUGUGCUGGGACUGGGGUUCACAGCAUCUCAAACCCUGUUUCUCAGGCCUUAUCUAAGGGUUAUCUAUUUCCAUGGAAACACUGAUCGACUUGAGACAUCUCCAGUGCUCAUAUUUAGCAAAGUCUGUGAAGAGUGUCGAUGUAGGGUAUCCGAUUAUUACUCAAGUGAAGCCCCUGUGUCAAAAAAUUCUAAGAAUCAUUAUCUCCUUUUGAAUACUGUUUGAAAUUUUUGAAUCCACUAUCUGGAAACUGAAAGAAUAAAAAAAAUACUGGCUCAUAAAAAUAAAUAAAAACUGUGGG
rnacentral:lncRNA from 1 species